CAAGGUAUGAUAACUCUCAAACUAAAUGCUAUUAUUGUCAUAAAUUUGGCCACUGUACUUCGGAAUGCGAGAAGUCAAACAAUUACGUGCAAGAAAGAGCAAAUUUUACACAAGAAGAUACCGAAGCCGUGGAAAACACUUUGUUACUAGCAUGCAAAGGUGGAGACAACAGAGGAUCGAAUUUGUGGUAUCUCGACAC
rnacentral:lncRNA from 1 species